rnacentral:rRNA from 1 species
UGAGGAAUAUUGGUCAAUGGACGCAAGUCUGAACCAGCCAAGUAGCGUGCAGGAUGACGGCCCUAUGGGUUGUAAACUGCUCUUAUAUGGGGAUAAAGUGGGGAACGUGUUCCCUUUUGCAGGUACCAUAUGAAUAAGGACCGGCUAAUUCCGUGCCAGCAGCCGCGGUAAUACGGAAGGUUCGGGCGUUAUCCGGAUUUAUUGGGUUUAAAGGGAGCGUAGGCCGUUUGGUAAGCGUGUUGUGAAAUGUAGGAGCUCAACUUCUAGAUUGCAGCGCGAACUGUCAGACUUGAGUGCGCACAACGUAGGCGGAAUUCAUGGUGUGGCGGUGAAAUGCUUAGAUAUCAUGAAGAACUCCGAUUGCGAAGACAGCUUACGGGGGCGCAACUGACGCUGAAGCUCGAAGGUGCGGGUAUCGAACAGG